CGUUUCACCUUACCUUCUUCCUUUUCUCCUUCUCUCAGCCGUUUCACGAACUUGAAAAGGCAGACACAUGGUUUCAAGUUCGUUUAAAACCUUCUCUCAGACACUGCCUCUGAUUUCCAGCAUCUCCUCGACACCCUUCCUCGCCCUUCCACCGCCGUCUGGAACACCGUCAUCAUCGGCUUCAUCUGCGACCAGCCCACGUCUCUUUCCAUGUCUGCUCCAUUUGGAAGAUGGCUGAGGUUUGGCACUGGAAAUUGUUCCUUAAAUGGUGGCUGCUGGCUGGGUGCCAGGGUUUUCAUACUCGAUUUGGGUUUUCCUGCAAAUUUUCAGGUUUGCUUCUCUUUCUCACGACUGUGAUUCGUUCUUCCUCCAAGCAUCCAUUCGUUCCCUUUGUUUUUUUUCCCACUUCGUGGUGGAGAUGAUUUUUGGCUAAGCAAGUUUGAUUCAAAUUGUUCACUGUGAUUCCUGUUCUGCAAAUUUGGUGCACCUAUGCUGGGAUUAUGGGGUUCCAGUUUGUGCAUUGGUGUCGUUCUUCUACGUUGUUCUUGAUUGUGGUAUUGAAUUUCCUUUCCCUCUCUCUCUCUGUUGUCCCUGAAAGGCCCAAUUUUUUUUGUCUCUGAUGUUUGAUUCCCUUAGUUCGUAGGCUACUGUUAUCUGGCUGAUAGUGGAAUUAGGACUAUCUAGGCCCAAAUUUAUGAAUUGCAGAAAAUUUGAUAACAUGUCAUUGAUAUUUUUGGAAUUUUUUAAGGGGGUUGUGCUGCUAUUGUAGUAUCAGGAACACCUUUGCUUGCCGGUCCAAUUUUAUGUGCUUAUAGACUGUUGUCAGAUAAAUGUCGCAACAAUUGGUGAAACCAUUGUUGGUUCUUUGGACCCAAAGCCUAUUAAGAUCACGUGAUUCUUUAUCCAUUAUAAUCAAAUUCAGUUUCUGAAACCUCAUCAUUUUCUUAGUUUCAAAACUAGCUAAAAUAUGAUUGCGUUAGAACCGUUAUUGUACUUACAAUUUUUUGCCUCACUUUCACUUUCGCUAACAGCACAAUAGGUUCAAGUUUCUAAUUAAACAGGCUUUGUGAAAGCUAACAGGUUUACAUGAUGUGUAGAUUAUAUGUGUAAUUUGUCUUUUAAUUUCAAUGACUUUUCCUUCGCUCAAGCGAAACACCUGCUGCCAGCAAUCCGGAAACAGGUAAAUUAGCACCCUCAGAUUUCAGUUUGAUUUAUACCUAUGCAGCAGAAAAAAAGAAAAGAAAAAAAAAGACAAUGACAAGAAUUUCAUUUCAUACUGAAUGAGGAAAUAGGACCACCCUUUAUCUGACCACAGCUUUGUGACCAGUGUCUGUAAGCAAGGUAAAAGAGUAGGAAGAAAGAAAUGAUUUAGCCAAAUAAGACCUGACUUGAAGGUUAUCAGCCCCAAGUACCAAUUACCAUGUAUAGAAAUAGAGAUGAGGUGACAGGAGUAGUGACUACAUUGGCUAAGUAGCAUAUGAAAGUGAUUGUAGGUUGAGGAAUAGCCAUUGAAAUGGACCCAUAACUGAACAGCAAUCCACAGCUGAUAUGCUUAAAAACCUCAAAUUGAUGAGCAUGCAUGCAAUGUUGUUCUGAUUGUUUGUUACAUCAGACAUCAAUGAGCAGUUGGAACUUCCAUUGUUUUAGCUUCCAAAAUGGAAUUGUAAUCCUAAGAAUGGAAUUAAUCCAACAACUACCCAAAGAACCCAUCCUAGCCCCCUGAAAACUCUUGAGAACAAGGAGUUUCGUCUGAAAAUGCUGAGAAAAACUAUAGGUCUGAAGGUGUUUUAACAGAAGCUGUGCAAAUUAUAAGAGAGCUUUAAGUAGAAGAAACUGUUCGAGACUCUAAGGUAGUACUCAGAUCACCUCACUCUACAUCAUGCAUGUGCUGUUACAGUUUGUGUUUUUCUGUGUUUGAUUUCAUUGCUCCAAGAAACUGCUUCGCAGUUUAGUUUAUGAAUUUUGCUAUAUCUGUUAGUGCAGUUGUUAAGUUGACAAGCAAUUUUUGAAUUUUGUUAUUGUUAACUUUAUUAUGUGCAUGUUAUGUUACAGAAUCAAAAGCAUGGAUGGAUAAUUUUCCAGUUCUGUAGAAUGAGGUAUCUUCACAACCAUCAUUCACCAUGAUUUUAAAAGCCAUCGCUGAUCCAUCUACCUCAAGUUUGCAGUGUUUGAAUGUUGCUGCAUGUUAUGUUACAGAAUCAAAAGCAUGGAUGGAUAAUUUUCCAGUUCUGUAGAAUGAGGACAUGAUAAAAUCAAAGGAAACUCCAUUGGAAAAAUCAGCUUCUUCCUUUAUUGAGAAGGAAAGGAAACUUCAAUCCAAAAUUGAGGAACUGGAUGACAAAGUGGAAGAAUUCAGUCAGAGCAUUGCUUUGCUAAAGGUUGUUGAGGUUGAGACUGUUACCGCUUCAAAUGAUACAUCUGGAAAAGUAAGAAGUUCAUUUGAGCAUCUCGAUGAUACUAGAUGUGUUGCAGUUUCAUCACUCAAGAGGUUUGAAUACUUUAUGCUUUCCUUCCAUGUCCUUUUCUUUUCCAGUUAUGACAUUAGGUGAAUGUUUGGUUCCAUGGUGGAUUAUUCUAAAAUCACCUUUGAUAAGAAGCUACAAGCCUACAAGUCUUAGUACCGAUUGUGAAUAUUUAUUUCGAUGAUUUUUUCAGUUGGGGUGUUUAGUACAUAAUUUAGUGGUUACACAUUAGUAUAUAGCUGCCAUUAAAUUUGGGUGAGGCAUGGCAGUGGAUAAUAAAGAAACAUCAGUUUGAAUGAGGAAUCCAUGUGAAUGAUAUAAAAAAGCUUCAGUUAUGAAUUUAAUUGUCUUCAAUAAUUAUAUAGCAGUUAUAGAAUUUGAACCGUUUCACAUGGAAUUUAAAUAGGCUAAUAAUGAUAGAAAUUUAACCUAAAUAAAGUGUGUUGAGUAAAUAUAUACCUUUCAUUCAUAUUUUGUGUUUUAAGCAAUCUGAUUUCCUCUAUCAUUUCUUCCUUUUUUUUAUGCCACGCUCAGAAUUGUGCCUUGCUUUUCUUUGGCUUUUUCUACUACUAUCUGAUUAUAUUAGAUUUCUUAAAACACAUUAGAUUGCUUAGACACUCACAAAAUUGUUGCAUUACACAGCUUUGAUAUUAAAUUUCUUAUCAUAAUUCUAUUGUAUGAAAAAUGAUUUUAGGCCAUGUUGUGCACUCAUUUUAUUAUAAGGACUGGUGAUAUUCAUUUAGACUUCACAUUUUCUGAGAAUGAUGCCGAAGUCCACAUCUGUGCAGAAGAAGCUUUAAAUUUCCAAACGCUUUAUGUGGCUUGGAAAGGGUAUAUAUUGAUUAUAAAUGAGGUUUUAUAGCGUGUACUCUGAUUUUAUGUUCAUGCAUAGCAAUUAGCAAGUUUUCGAUUUUUUUUAGAAGACAUUUUUAAUCACCAAUCUUAAUCCCAUGAAGUUCUGGGAAUUCCUUUCAAAUUUGUUGAAAGCUCUUGGACACCGAAGACAAAAGAAGAAAAGAUAGAGUCUGUAAAUUUUUUUGUGCAUUAAGUGUAUUGAGAACCAAGUUAGAUUACAAUUCUCAUAAACAUACUAGGGUCUUUUUCAAAAUUUGGCAAUGAGUUUCAACUUCAAUUUCAGGACAUAACUGAACAUCCUCUUUCAAGUAUAUAGUUUAAUGUUAUAUGGUAUUUCUAUUGUUUUCUGCUAACACAAGGAUGCUGCUCACCAUGAACAAGAUUUAACCUUCACGUCUAGCUAGGAGCAAUGAUGCUACGAGACUGUUUAGAAAGCUUUGGAGGGAAAUUGAAACCAAAGUUUCUCUUGGAAAUCCAAGAGGAAGAUGUGAAAGGUUUAAUGGAGAAUGGGUUGGCAUUUGACAGAUCAUACCCACUUCCCGUAUAUGAGAGGAUUGGAAACAUAACCUUGAAGAUUUCUGGCAUUGCAGCAGUGGGUCUUCAUUUGUCGGAAAUGGUUCAUUGGUAGCUUUUAUUCCUGCAAUACGCGGGUCAUUUGUCUUUUGUGAUUAAAUCCUUUGAGCUUGGUUCCUAAGUUGGCAUGGUGUUUGAAAUGUACAUAAACUAAAUCAUUUGAAUGUUGGUGUUGUUAUAAUUUACACAAUUUAAAGAAUAGAUCUCUUUGAUUA